AGAGUUUGAUCCUGGCUCAGGAUCAACGCUGGCGGCGUGCCUAACGCAUGUAAGUCGCACGGGCUGCCUUCGGGUGGCCAGUGGCGAACGGCUGAGGAACACGUACGAACCUGCCCCGGGCUGGGGAAUAACGCGCCGAAAGGCGUGCUAAUACCGCGUACGCUCAUGGCUUCAUGCCAUGAGGAAAGCCGCGAGGCGGCCUGGGAGGGGCGUGCGGCCCAUCAGGUAGUUGGGGGGGUAAGAGCCUCCCAAGCCGGUGACGGGUAGCUGGUCUGUGAGGACGAUCAGCCAGACUGGGACUGAGACACGGCCCAGACACCUACGGGUGGCAGCAGCGAGGAAUCUUCUACAAUGGGCGCAAGCCCGAUAGAGCAACGCCGCGUGGAGGACGACGGCCUUUCGGGUUGUAAACUCCUUUCGGGGGGGAUGACGAUGACAGUACCCCCAGAAGCAGCCCCCGGCUAACUCUGUGCCAGCAGCCGCGGUAAGACAGAGGGGGCAAGCGUUGUCCGGAUUUACUGGGCGUACAGCGCGCGCAGGCGGUGGACCAGGUGCCCUGUGACAUCCCGGAGCUCAACUCCGGGCGGCCAGGGUAGACCAGUUGACUGGAGGCAGAGAGAGGCAGGUGGAAUACCCGGUGGAGCGGUGAAAUGCGUAGAGAUCGGGUGGAACACCAGCGGCGCAAGCGGCCUGCUGGCUCUGUACUGACGCUGAGGCGCGAGAGCGUGGGGAGCAAACCGGAUUAGAUACCCUAGUAGUCC
rnacentral:rRNA from 1 species